rnacentral:piRNA from 1 species
AGUUUUGCAGAUUUGCAGUUCAGC